UCAUGGCUCAGAACGAACGCUGGCGGCAGGCCUAACACAUGCAAGUCGAGCGCACUCUUCGGAGUGAGCGGCGGACGGGUUAGUAACGCGUGGGAACAUACCCUUUUCUACGGAAUAGCCUCGGGAAACUGAGAGUAAUACCGUAUACGCCCUUCGGGGGAAAGAUUUAUCGGAGAAGGAUUGGCCCGCGUUUGAUUAGAUAGUUGGUGGGGUAAUGGCCUACCAAGUCUACGAUCAAUAGCUGGUUUGAGAGGAUGAUCAGCAACACUGGGACUGAGACACGGCCCAGACUCCUACGGGAGGCAGCAGUGGGGAAUCUUAGACAAUGGGCGCAAGCCUGAUCUAGCCAUGCCGCGUGAGUGACGAAGGCCUUAGGGUCGUAAAGCUCUUUCGCCAGAGAUGAUAAUGACAGUAUCUGGUAAAGAAACCCCGGCUAACUCCGUGCCAGCAGCCGCGGUAAUACGGAGGGGGUUAGCGUUGUUCGGAAUUACUGGGCGUAAAGCGUACGUAGGCGGAUUGGAAAGUAUGGGGUGAAAUCCCAGGGCUCAACCCUGGGAACUGCCCUGUAACUAUCAGUCUAGAGUUCGAGAGAGGUGAGUGGAAUUCCAAGUGUAGAGGUGAAAUUCGUAGAUAUUUGGAGGAACACCAGUGGCGAAAGGCGGCUCACUGGCUCGAUACUGACGCUGAGGUACGAAAGUGUGGGGAGCAACCAGGAUUAGGUACCCUGGUGGUCCACACCGUAAACGAUGAAUGCCAGACGUCGGGGGGCUUGCCCUUCGGUGUCACACCUAACGGAUUAAGCAUUCCGCCUGGGGAGUACGGUCGCAAGAUUAAAACUCAAAGGAAUUGACGGGGCCCGCACAAGCGGUGGAGCAUGUGGUUAAUUCGAAGCAACGCGCAGAACCUUACCAACCCUUGACAUCCUAGGACCGCCAGAGAGAUCUGGUUUCCACUUCGGUGGCCUAGUGACAGGUGCUGCAUGGCUGUCGUCAGCUCGUGUCGUGAGAUGUUCGGUUAAGUCCGGCAACGAGCGCAACCCACAUCCUUAGUUGCCAGCAGUUCGGCUGGGCACUCUAGGGAAACUGCCCGUGAUAAGCGGGAGGAAGGUGUGGAUGACGUCAAGUCCUCAUGGCCCUUACGGGUUGGGCUACACACGUGCUACAAUGGCAUCUACAGUGAGUUAAUCUCCAAAAGAUGUCUCAGUUCGGAUUGGGGUCUGCAACUCGACCCCAUGAAGUCGGAAUCGCUAGUAAUCGCGUAACAGCAUGACGCGGUGAAUACGUUCCCGGGCCUUGUACACACCGCCCGUCACACCAUGGGAGUUGGUUCUACCCGACGACGCUGCGCUAACCCUUCGGGGGGGCAGGCGGCCACGGUAGGAUCAGCGACUGGGGUGAAGUCGUAACAAGGUAGCCGUA
rnacentral:rRNA from 1 species